GGGCGUCAUGCGGGUACUGCUUUACAUCACGCAGCAAAAAGAGGCCUGGAGAAGACUGCUCUAUUACUUCUUUCCAGUGGAGCAAAUGCUCUAGUGAGAAAUGAUGAUUGUCACACUGCUUUGGAUGCUGCAAGAAUAAAGGGGCACACCAACUAUUGAAGUAGGCUCUUUUAGGUGUUAAAAUCCAGUAAAACUACCAAUGGUGCAGCUACAUGCAUGGACUGCUAGCUAGAUGAUUCAGUCUAAUAAUUUUUUUCUUAACCUGUAAUUUGUGCUCCAACAUUAAUAGCGUCAAAGUCUCUCUGACUUGUUUAUAUGUCCCAUCAUCAAUUUAUGUAUCUUUCAAGUUUAGUGUUAAUUAAUAAGCAGGAUACUCAACCUCGUACAGUCAUUGCUAUCUGGAAGGCAAAGAUUGAUCAGGAACCCAAAUUUCAUCAGUUGGAUCCAGGGCUCACUAUAUUUGACCAUUCUGCAAGCAAGUCAUUAUUAAUGAAUUUUGUUUCCCUGCCAAAUUUGCGGUCUCAUCCAGUUAUUACUUAGAAUAUGAUAUUCUUUUCAUUUUAUUGUUUCUACAUGUAAGACAAACAUCAUGUUUGAAUUGAGAGUAGCUAGAUAGAUGCUAUGGCAAUCAUACAUGAAUUCUUGACCAAAUUUGUCAUCUUGCAAUACCUAAAGAGCAAGAGAAGAGAGAUGAGUCGGAGUGCAAGUGGGAUGUGUAACUUUCAGUUUCUUUUGGAUUAUAUUUGUCUUUGGUAACAUUAGGUUAAUGCGGAACUCUUUAAUUACGUGAUCAAUAUGGAUUUCAAUAAAACUCGUUGCAUUUAGCAUAUCUGCUAUGUUAUCCAUAUGUUGUUGCUGAGUAUCAUGCAUUCGAGGAUUGUCAUUGUGACUAUUUAAUAAUACUGGAAGGUU
rnacentral:misc_RNA from 1 species